rnacentral:lncRNA from 1 species
ACAUCACCCUAAGGGCGUGGGUGUCGGAGUCUUGCAGGCUGGGGUCCCAGGUGAGAGAUGCCAGCAGGGAGCUCUAGAUGGGGAACUGGGUGAGCCUGGCUCGGUAAGGGCGUGCUCAGAACACCCCAUCCCCGAACACGGUCUUGUGUGAUAAAAUGUCACGCAAGAAGAAUCUGAAACCGCGAGAAGAGGAGGACACGGCCAGACUGCACCGAACCCCGGCACCUCUGUGGGGAAAAGCAGGUCAGGCUGAGCGGGGCCGGCGGGGACACGCGCUCCUGGGCUUCUCCAGAGUCUGCCGGGGCCGGGCCCGGGACCGAGGCUGGGACGCGCUGUGCAGUCCCACCCCUCACACCCCUCGCACGCCUGGAAACACCCUCGGGGUAACACAAGCCGGGGUUGAGUUUCUUGAAGAGAAGCUGGCUGCAUCCUGGAGCCAGGGAAAGAGGAGCACAGGGGCCAAGCGGUCCAGGGCCACGGAGGAGCAGGACCCCUGGGGAAAGGCCCGGGUCUAGGCCGGGGCCAGGGGACCGUGGUGGAGACCUCAAAAAUGGCAGAACACGGAAGCAGGGCGAGAAAAGUAAACGUAGUCCUUGCGGCAGUUUGAAAUACACGCGGGUAAACGCUGGGUGACUCCGCCCGGAUGCAGAGUGGGGGUCUGUGUCUCUCCCCACAGGCUGCAGGGACCGGGCUCUGGGUAACCAGCAGAAGGUAACAGAACGAGGCUGCUUUUCCUCCAGGCUGUUCUGGUGUCCGCGCGUGGCUUGUGCGCUGACUCCUGACUUGGAGCGCCGCGUGGCCAGAGAAAUCUGGGUGCCUCCAGGCCACCAUGGUGAGAGGAGAGGCCACCGCACGAACGGAAGAAGCGAUGGAGACGGUCUUUACGACCUAAGAACAGAAAGAGUUUCUUAUACACAAUCCGAAAAGUAAAAAUUGAUUGAUUGAUUGAUUGAGAUGGAAUCCCACUCUGUCGUCCAGGUUAGAGUGCAAUGGCUUGAUCUCGGCUCAUUGCAACCUCCGCCUCCCGGGUUCAAGCGAUUCUCCUGCCUCAGUCUCCCGAGUAGCUGGGAUUAUAGGCGCCCGCCACCACGACUGGCUAAUUUUUAUAUUUUUAGUAGAGACGCAGUUUCACCGUGUUGACCAGGCUGGUCUUGAACCCCUGACCUCAGGUGAUCCGCCUGCCUCGGUCUCCCAAAGUGCUGGGAUUACAGGCGUGAGCCACCGUGCUGGGCCAAAAAUCAAUUUUAAAACGACCACAUGAAAAAUAAAUCUCCUGUAUCACAGAGCAUGUUCUGAGGAAAAUGAAAGCCACAGAUCCAGAAGAUAUUUGUGACACAUAUGAAAAACAAAAACUCAUAUUCAAAACAUACACAGCAUUGCUAUGAAUCAUUAAGAAAAAUGAUUUCGUCUCCUCUACAGGAGCCUGAGUGAAGGACAAGGACAGAUCAUUAUAAACCAGGGAGCUUGAAGAGCUAGUUAACAAGCACAGAAAAUAUGUUCCCCCACACUGUUAAUCAAGAAAAUUAAAACUGUAAUGAGAUGCCGCAUUGUAUCCAUGGGAUUUCUAAAAGUACAAAGUUCCACAAUACCCGUUGUUGACGGAGCAGGGAAACCGCAGGAGCCUGCAGGAGAUGAGAUUGUAAAUGUGCAAGGACAUUUUGGAGAAGAGUUGACAACAUCUCACUCACGUGUAUCAAGCCAAGUGCCGAAAGAAGAAUUGGUUGUCAUAAAGAAAACAGAAACCCAGAAUGGAUGUAGCUUAUCCCUCCGAUGGAAAGUUACAAAGAAGUUAAAAUGAAUGGGCUGCAUCUCUGUGUAACAAUUUGGAUCAAUAUCAAAGACACAUUUGUUAAAGCAAGGUGUACAAUGAAACCUGCAACAUGAUUUGUCUGUUUAGUAAAACACAGAAAAUCUAACUCCGCCUGGCUUACGAACACACACAUGUGUUAGAAUUUGGGAAAAGGAAAGGGAGGGAGGCCGGCUACACGUGAACUUUUGGAAAAUCUCAGAGGGUCUGGGGCACCAGGUGGAGACCAUGGCAGCCUUCAGGGAUAUGAGGAUUUCCUGAAGACACCAUCCCAGUCAAGUGGUCUGCCUCAUACUGAGCCACCAGACCACCCAGCAUGUCCUCACCCGCGUGGACAGAUGACAGGGGGCUCUGAGCAUGCCCCAGUGCACCUUACGCACCUGUGAAGGUUGGGAGCCUGAGUGCAGCUCCUGUGGCACUGCCCGUGGCCAGGGAGAUGCCUCCUCAGUGCUCCUGACCCUCGGUGGAGGACCGGCCAGCGUGUGUGCCGACAGUGUGUCCACACAGGUGUGCUGCGCCCAAUGGGCAAGUCGGAAACAAAGGAAAAUGCUCUCUGAAGGAAAAGGCAAAGCAAUUUGGAUUUCUGCGAGAAAAUGAGACUGCAUGUGGCACUGUAAAUACCCUUGCUGCUGAACUUCUCGCUCCCCCCAGAUACACCCUUCAUAUUGACAUGUCUAGAACCUUAAACUGAACCAAGUUGAAAAGUGAGAUUAAUUAGGGCUGAGUUAACAGUUAACACAUACAAUGAAAUAUUGAAUAAGGCUUACUGAGCAAACAAGAAUAUACAGAAGUGGAGGAGACAAAGAGGAUAUUAAAAAUGCAGACAGUGAUGAGGCAGAUAGCUGGGACAAAUAAUGAAAAAUAGUAAAGGAGAUAAGGCAGAUAUUGGAGGAGCAAAGAGUCUCUGAAAUAGAUAUCGGUAUUGAAAGAUGCUAAACACGCUUCUAAAGAGACUUUCUAGCCGACACAGGGAGCUCACUGAUGGAUGAAGUAGAAACAUUUUUAAAUGGAAUCAAACAGGGCAAAGCGGGAGAAGAAAAAGAAGUAGGUAAACCAGUAAAUUAACUUUUCUCGUGUGUGCUGUGUACUAUUUGUGAGUGAGCAAUGAACGCUGUGGCUCCCUGGAGGGGCUGUGGUGGGAAGUUUCACUGCGAUCAAGUAGAGGUGGUGCCUUUGGACCUCUUCUCCUGAACCUGCAGGGAGAGGCGCAGAAUAUUCACAAGGUGAAGAUGCAACAAUUCAAAUGAGUGUCCAGGUUUUCAGGGUGGUUGCUAAACCCCAAAAGACCGAUAGCUUCGGGCAAAAGACUGCAGAAAGAACAGCUUUACAUUUUUACGGAAGCAAUGGGAAAUAUACCCUGUAAGCCUUGAAAAAUUCCCGAAGGGAUUCCUGUUCAUUCCUGUGGAUCCUAAUGGGCCAGCAUAGACCUGUUAGUCAAAAGAGGAUUUAUCUACAUUGCACACUCAUUCAGGCAGGCAGGGAAGUCAACGCCACUUUCAGAUGUUUGUAGAGCAUGAACUCUGUCCGUUCCCACGCCCUCCAAAGGCUGUUACACAGGGAUGCCCGCUUCUGGACAGAAGUGAUUCAUGCAGGAUGAGAACCAUGACCACAGAAGAUUUUGUGCAUGUGGUUAUUUCAAUAUUUAAUUUAAGUGUAUGCAUGAGUGUUCAGGAUAAAAAUGCUUGGAGUGUACUUUAAUUCCAUUAAAAAUGUAUACAUUAUUCAUGUCCUAUGGACUGUCCACUGUGUGACUCAGAGAGCUGAGGGGGUAGAAAUAUAUUCAUUCAUUCACUGUCUCCUUAAAUAUUUACUGAGCACUUGUUGCCCGUUGAAUAAGUUGUUGUUUUAGGUUCCUCAUGGUAGCUGUGCAGGAAGGGUGCAGAGUGGCCUGAGGGGCUAUUGGGAAAGUCCACCUUGGGUUGAGGGAUCUGGGAGGGCUCCCUGGAGGAGGUGGUGUUGGACUACAGCGAUGGGAACAUAAAGGAGCUGGAGAGAGAUUUGGGUGCCAGUCAGCACAAGAAAGGC